rnacentral:ncRNA from 1 species
AAAAGGUGUCAGACAAAUUGUCUGCUGAAAAGAGAAACAGGUGUGAUUCCUGUGCGAACUCGUCACCGUAUUUUGAGAGUGAAGGCUGAUGACCACUGGGUAACUGGGAAGGGGGCCGGAGCGUCUGAUCAAUAAGUCGGGAGAACUGCCUUUUGUU